GUGCUCGCUUUGGCAGCAAAUUUACUAAAAUUGGAACAAUACAGAGAUUAGCACGGCCCCUCGUAAGGAUGACACACAAAUUCAUGAAGCGUUCCAUAUUCCU
rnacentral:snRNA from 1 species